rnacentral:rRNA from 1 species
UACGUAGGGGCCGAGCGUUGUCCGGAUUUAUUGGGCGUAAAGAGCGUGUAGGCGGCCAGGUAGGUCUGCUGUGAAAACUCGAGGCUUAACCUCGAGCUGUCGGCGGAAACCAUCUGGCUAGAGUCCGGAAGAGGAGAAUGGAAUUCCCGGUGUAGCGGUGAAAUGCGCAGAUAUCGGGAAGAACACCCGUGGCGAAGGCGGUUCUCUGGGACGGUACUGACGCUGAGACGCGAAAGCGUGGGGAGCGAACAGG